rnacentral:tRNA from 1 species
GGCAAUGGUGGACGGCGUGGGCCUGAUGUCCAGCCUGCUGCACUCCCUGCGCGCAGCCGGGC